AUGGCCGACACCACCCCUAGCCUCCUCUCCAACACCGCUAGCGCCCUCAUCAACACCCCCAUCGGCACCCUUGCCACCAGUUCAAGCUCCUCUGCCGCACCCACGAUCACCUCGAUCGGAAACCUUAUCACCCUCCGUCUCACGAGGGACAACUUCCUUCUAUGGAAGACCCAGGCUGUCCCUGCCCUCGCCUCCAACGGCUUGUUCGGAUAUGUCUCCGGCUCCGAAACGGCGCUGCCACACACCAUCACAGAAGGCACCGGCGAUGCGGCCAAGGAGGUAGCCAAUCCGGCGUUUCUUCGGUGGUACCAGCAGGAUCAGCUGGUGAUGAUCGCCCUCCUCGGCUCGAGGCUAGAGGAUAUCCUUGGACAGAUGACACAGCUCCGCACAUCUGAACAGGUCUGGACUACUCUUCAUGACAUGUUUGCCUCACAGAAUCGUGCCCGCGUCAUGCAGCUGCGCUACCAGCUCUCCAACCUGAAGAAGAAGGACCUCACCGCCUUCGAGUACUACCGCAAGAUGCGGGGCUUUGCUGAUGCCAUGGCGUCCAUCGGCAAGCCUCUCACCAACGAGGAGGUGCUUGGCUACAUACUUGCUGGACUAGGUCCCGAGUUUGAGCCGUUGGUCGCGUCGGUCAUGACGCGCGAUGACCCCAACAGCCUCACCAGCUUCUACGCGUUCCUCCUCGGCACCGAACUCCGCCUCGAGUACCAGGCCUCCGUCGGUCAACACCACCCUUCGGCGAACAUCGCCGCGCACAACCCUGAUGGUCGCGGUGCUGGCCGUGGCAAUCAGGGUGGCAACCAGGGUGGACAAGGCGGCAACAGCGGCAAUCGUGGCCGCGGCGGACGCGACCGUGGAAACGGACGCAGCAACCUCAAGUGCCAAGUCUGCGGCAAGUUUGGCCAUGACGCGCUGCACUGCCGCAACCGCUUCAACCAUGCGUUCCAGCCUGAAGAU
rnacentral:rRNA from 1 species